rnacentral:rRNA from 1 species
AGAGUUUGAUCAUGGCUCAGAACGAACGCUGGCGGCGUGGAUAAGACAUGCAAGUCGUACGCUGAUCACAUUGCAGCAAUGUAGUGUGGUUGGAGUGGCACAAGGGUGCGUAACACGUGGGUAAUUUGCCGUGAAGUCGGGGAUAACUUGCUGAAAGGCGAGCUAAUACCGGAUGUGAUCAUCGAGAGGCAUCUUUUGAUGAUUGAAGUUGGGGACCGUAAGGCCUGACGCUUCACGAUAAGCCCGCGGCCUAUCAGCUAGUUGGUGAGGUAACGGCUCACCAAGGCUAAGACGGGUAGCUGGUCUGAGAGGACGACCAGCCACACUGGAACUGAGACACGGUCCAGACACCUACGGGUGGCAGCAGUCGAGAAUUUUUCUCAAUGGGCGAAAGCCUGAAGGAGCGACGCCGCGUGGGGGAUGAAUGGCUUCGGCCCGUAAACCCCUGUCAUUUGCGAACAAUUCGCGUUAUUUAAAAGAUGAUGCGUUGAUAGUAGCGGAAGAGGAAGGGACGGCUAACUCUGUGCCAGCAGCCGCGGUA